UACGAGGGGGGCAAGCGUUGUUCGGAAUCAUUGGGCGUAAAGCGCACGUAGGCGGUUCGUUAUGUCGGAUGUGAAAGCCCUUGGCUUAACCGAGGAAGUGCAUCCGAAACUGGCGAGCUAGAGUACUAAAGAGGAUCGCGGAAUUCCCGGUGUAGAGGUGAAAUUCGUAGAUAUCGGGAGGAACACCGGUGGCGAAGGCGGCGAUCUGGGUAGAUACUGACGCUGAGGUGCGAAAGCGUGGGGAGCAAACAGG
rnacentral:rRNA from 1 species